GGAAUUUUGCGCAAUGGGCGAAAGCCUGACGCAGCAACGCCGCGUGGAGGACGAAGGCUUUCGAGUCGUAAACUCCUGUCCUCGGGGACGAAUUCAUGACGGUACCCGGGGAGGAAGCCCCGGCUAACUCCGUGCCAGCAGCCGCGGGAAUACGGAGGGGGCUAGCGUUGUUCGGAAUUACUGGGCGUAAAGGGCGCGUAGGCGGUAUGUCAAGUCAGGGGUGAAAGGCCUGGGCUCAACCCAGGAAUUGCCUUUGAAACUGGCAAACUAGAGUCCGAAAGAGGAUGGCGGAAUUCCCAGUGUAGAGGUGAAAUUCGUAGAUAUUGGGAAGAACACCGGUGGCGAAGGCGGCCAUCUGGAUCGGCACUGACGCUGAGGCGCGAAAGCGUGGGGAGCA
rnacentral:rRNA from 1 species